AUUGAACGCUGGCGGCAGGCUUAACACAUGCAAGUCGAGCGGGCGAGGUUGCUUCGGUAACUGAGCUAGCGGCGGACGGGUGAGUAAUGCUUAGGAAUCUGCCUAUUAGUGGGGGACAACAUUCCGAAAGGGAUGCUAAUACCGCAUACGUCCUACGGGAGAAAGCAGGGGCUCUUUAUGACCUUGCGCUAAUAGAUGAGCCUGAGUCGGAUUAGCUAGUUGGUGGGGUAAAGGCCUACCAAGGCGACGAUCUGUAGCGGGUCUGAGAGGAUGAUCCGCCACACUGGGACUGAGACACGGCCCAGACUCCUACGGGAGGCAGCAGUGGGGAAUAUUGGACAAUGGGGGGAACCCUGAUCCAGCCAUGCCGCGUGUGUGAAGAAGGCCUUUUGGUUGUAAAGCACUUUAAGUGGGGAGGAGGCUUACCUGGUUAAUACCUGGGCUAAGUGGACGUUACCCACAGAAUAAGCACCGGCUAACUCUGUGCCAGCCGCCGCGGUAACAC
rnacentral:rRNA from 1 species